AGCAGCCGCGGUAAUUCCAGCUCCAAUAGCGUAUAUUAAAGUUGUUGCAGUUAAAAAGCUCGUAGUUGAAUUUCGGGAUCAGUAUGUUGGUCGUGCUUCGGUACGUACUGUCAUUACUGGUUUCUACCUUCUGAAGAACCUUGAUGUCAUUAAUUUGGUGUCUUGGGGAAUCAGGACUGUUACUUUGAAAAAAUUAGAGUGUUUAAAGCAAGCAUACGCUUGAAUACAUUAGCAUGGAAUAAUGAAAUAGGACGUUUGAUUCUAUUUUGUUGGUUUCUAGGAUCGACGUAAUGAUUAAUAGGGAUAGUUGGGGGCAUUAGUAUUCAAUUGUCAGAGGUGAAAUUCUUGGAUUUAUUGAAGACGAACUACUGCGAAAGCAUUUGCCAAGGAUGUUUUCAUUAAUCAAGAACGAAAGUUAGGGGAUCGAAGACGAUCAGAUACCGUCGUAGUCUUAACCAUAAACUAUGCCGACUAGGGAUCGGAUGAUGUUAUUUUUAUGACUCAU
rnacentral:rRNA from 1 species